rnacentral:rRNA from 1 species
ACCCGCUGAACUUAAGCAUAUCAAUAAGCGGAGGAAAAGAAACCAACAGGGAUUGCCCUAGUAACGGCGAGUGAAGCGGCAACAGCUCAAAUUUGAAAUCUGGCUCUUUCAGAGUCCGAGUUGUAAUUUGCAGAGGGCGCUUUGGUGUUGGCAGCGGUCCAAGUUCUUUGGAACAGGACGUCACAGAGGGUGAGAAUCCCGUACGUGGUCGCUAGCCCUCACCGUGUAAAGCCCCUUCGACGAGUCGAGUUGUUUGGGAAUGCAGCUCUAAAUGGGAGGUAAAUUUCUUCUAAAGCUAAAUACUGGCCAGAGACCGAUAGCGCACAAGUAGAGUGAUCGAAAGAUGAAAAGCACUUAGGAAAGAGAGUCAAAUAGCACGUGAAAUUGUUGAAAGGGAAGCGCUUGCAGCCAGACUUGCCUGUAGUUGCUUAUCCGGACUUUUGUCCGGUGCACUCUUCUGCGGGCAGGCCAGCAUCAGUUUAGGCGGUUGGAUAAAGGUCUCUGUCAUGUACCUCUCUUCGGGGAGGCCUUAUAGGGGAGACGACAUGCAACCAGCCUGGACUGAGGUCCGCGCAUCUGCUAGGAUGCUGGCGUAAUGGCUGU